CCGGGCGGUCUCGGUUCCUGCAGGGCACAACCCGGACUCCUUCAGGGAGGAGACCUACUGUGCGCAGGGGUAGAAAACCUUGAGAGCCGGAGUGCCUCAGUUUUAAAACCUUCGGUAAGAGGCUUAACUCGAGAGAGGUAAGGAGAAAAUUAAAAACCUCCCUUUUGGACAAAUAAUAGCCUCUCACAAAUGAAGCAAUAAAAAAGAUUUCCUCCGCGACCUCUUACACCAGAGGUACAAAGUACUUAGGGGCGAACCUCAGCAAGUUACAAGAUCCUCAGGAUGAAAUCCCUCAACCUUGGCCGAAAGGCAGAAACAAGACCCGAUGACGUUCCUGCCACUUAAAGCUGUCUGGGGCAGAAUGAAGCAGAAAUGCGUCUGAUCUCAGGCCUUCGACUCUACUUCUUCCUAUGGCAGUUCUUGCUGUACCCGUGAACCGUGGGGGCCUCCUGAUCAUACUUCACGGACACCACAGAAAUCCCUUCGGAUUUGCCAAGGUGACCGCCUCCACCCGGAGCAUUGUGAUCAUCCCACCAGCUCUAAUCUAAUUUUCAUAAAGGACAAGAAUUUUCACCUGUUUUGUUCACCGCUGUAUUCCCAGUGCCUAGGACAGUGCCACAGAGAGAUGAGGAAAAGUGACUCAGCAAAAACCACCGGUUCCGUCGUUCUCAUGAGUGGCAGCUUUUCAGAGUCUCCCAAAAGCCUGGAUAUCGUACGUCCCAGCCUACCAGCACAUUCCCUCCACCUUGUAACCCAUCCCAGCUGAUCACCAGUGAAGGUCUGAACAACUGUGCUUCUCCAGAGAGUCAGGGAUUGUCAGGAUUUCGCUUACCACCAGGGAUGAGUCUUCAUUUCCAGUUGGCAGAACUACAAUCCAUCAUCCAUGCUGCUGCUGGAGGACACUUGGGAAUUGUGGUCAACAAAACAGAUGAAGUCUCUCCCGCCAUGGGACUUACCUUUUAAUGGGAGAGACAGGAGGUAACAACGAAGAAAUGAGCGAGCGAAUAGAUAAAUAAAUAUUAGGUAGUGAUAAUUGUUAUGCCAAGGAUUAGAAUGAUAUGAUGGGGUGCUGACAGGGCUGGUUUCUAGUAAUAUCCACUGCCCGACUGAACACCCCCAUGGGCUUCCCAUUGUCUUCUGGGUGCAGUUCAGACUCCAGUUUGGCACAAAAGACUCCCGUGGAGGUAAGUUCUGGGCCCGUGGUGAGGAUUGGACUGGGGUCCUUAUGGCCCCUUGGAUUCGGGCAUUUGGGUGAUAGGCUCUUCCCGGAGGGUGAGGCCAUCUGCUCUGAGUACCUCCUUCCCCAUUUCCUCUUCCUUCCCUUAUCCCCCCGGGAUCCCCAGUGCUGGAACAAUAUUGCUUAUGAGCUGAAUUGACAAAAGCCAGCUGCCUCAGCAGGUUUAUUCUUAUCAGUGACUGAACCCAGACAAUUAACAAUCCAUUUCAGUGGUGACUUUUGCCAUUCUUUUUGGGAAGUGCUGAAUGGGACAUGGCUUUUGGGAGGAGAGAUUCUUUUUUAGACCCGGAGAUGCAAUGCUCAUUUCUACUGAGCCUGUCGCUGGAGCUUGGUCGGUAGCCCCCAUGCUUCUCACUGUCCCCUCCUAGCCCAGCACCCAGUCUCUAAUCUAGGUCACUGAGGUUAUGGAAGGAGCUUGUGUUGAGUACAAAGACUGAACAAAACCGAAACGCAACCAAGCAUGUUCUCAGUAGUGGGUUCCGUGUCAUGGCUGAUAAUUCUUCCAUGAUCCCCGUUCUUAUCAGGAACUGUGACUUCAUUUCCCUGCACUCAUGGCUGGUGAGCACCGAUGAAGGAGGGAGCAGAAAUCCCCCUUCCCUCGGAAACAGAAGCUCCUGGCAGUCUUGCUUCGGCUCAUUUAUCAGGGCUCCUAAUCAUUCAUCUGAAGAAAUUGGUGAAUGAAUAAAUAAAUAUCCCUGAUGUCCAGCCAGAGCUCUUCUUCUUCCCCCAGCCUCCUCUUCUCCCCUUGCUGGAGCAGUGGUGUUCACCACCUUCCCUGCACUUGCCCUUCUCCCUCCCGCAGAUCUGGGUCACUGUUUACCUUCACCUCCCCCUAGCGGCAAGCUGGGUAAAUCACCCGCCGGAGCCUGGCUUCCAGGAGCCAGGCUCACCUGUUCUGAUGCAGACUGCAAAGAGAGUACUGCUGAUGAAGACAAGCAUUUAUCACUCCGAGGAGGUCCCACUCUCAUCUCAACCACCACAGACAGUCCUAUCGUAAUACCGAGAUGAUUAUCCUCUAUUAAUUGAUUUAAAUAGACACACGAAAAAGUACGACUAUAUAAAUCAGACUUUGUAAUUUACACAAUCAAGCCUGAGGCACUUUUCUCUUAUUAGACAUAAAGUAUAAUUGAUGAAAAGCAAAAAGCUUUCAUCUGAACGUUUAUAUUUGCAAUACACUGUAAAGGAAGUAGAUUUCAUAAGGUUGGUAUUGGUCAUAUGGAUUGCCCUUUGAGUGGAAUCAAAAGGGCUUUACUGAAAAAAACUGUAUAACCCCAGGUUAAGUCUGUAUAUCCGAGGCUGAGAAAAGUCAUAAGAAGGAUGGGGUAAGCCAUAUGAUAUAAAAAAGGCUAGGAAGACCCUUGCUGUGCCUGAAAAUUUUACCCUGCGUCACUCAGCCCGAAAUGAUAGAAUUACCUUGGACUCAAGUCAAAUGUUCAUACUGGUAGACAGAUGUCAUUAGAAUCCAUUAAUUAUCAGCUUUCUGUCCUUCCCCUGGUUAAACCUCUGAAAGCCUAAUGCCGAGCCACCAAAAAGUGGGGGAAGACAGAACUGUAAGGAGCUGGGUUGACCGUCACCCUAUGGGGAAGCUAAAAGACCGAAUGAGCAGUGGGGACAGAGGAUGGGGCACAUUCUCGGAGGUGGAAAAAAAAGUGUGGAUAGCUUUACCUCCAGUUCUCCUUGGGUACAGCUUCUUAAAAUUGAUGUUUCAUGAGUCCUUGGGAGAAUUUCUCUCCCAAAAAUGCCAGCGGUAUAGUUCAGGAGCUGAAAGAAAGACCUUUAUUCCUUAUUUUAGCUCCCUGUUAACUCCUUAACCCUCCCAACAGCCUGGAGCUAGGCGCUGUUACACUAUUCACUGCACAGGUAAGCAGCGACAUGGAGAAGUUAAGGGACUUGCUUAUUAGAGUCACUUAGCCAGUGAGCGAGAGGGCCAGUUCCAGCCCUGGAGGCUGGCCAUCUGCAGUAACUUUUCUGACAGUGGGACAUCGAGCCAGGGGACUCAAGCAUGUUACAGUGGGUCCACCAAGAUCUUUAGGUAACUGUCGGUGCUGCUGGGUCUGAAAGAAGACAGUUUUGUACUGAAGCUUCAUUUAGCACACAGAACUAAAUCUUAUCCUUCGGGAUUCUCACCUGAGUCGGAAUCUGGCUGGCCUUAAGUUCUGUGGGUUUGUGUGGUUCCUGCCCCACCCCCAUGAACACCAAUUUCAUGAAUUGCUUUAUGUCAAAGACAAUAAGAUUUCUUUAGAAAAGUCUUUUCGUGGUGGCUUAAGUGUUUCCAAAAUGAUCAGUUUAAAAAUUUCACAGUAGCUGAAGACAAGAGAACUCAGUUUGUGGCCUUGACUAUAUUUCAGUACACAGCACAUUAUUCCGGUGGGGCCGAAGAAUGAUGGAGAAAGAAACCAAUUCUGAUGCCAAAACCCAAACUUACUUUGCAUAUGCAGGCAAUCCAUUGAAUUAAAAGAACAAUUAAAGAGAGCGCAAACU